GACAGCGACGGAGCAGCUGUUGCUAUGGUUACCUCUUCAGGGAUACGUUAACUGAUUUUCAGUUUCUGCAUUCUGACUAACUUUAAACUUUUGAGAUUGCGAUGUUUGAAAAUGAUUUUUCAACAUAUUUUCCACUAUAUUAUAGAUUUACACAUCACAAAAAAUGAUUUAAGUGUGUUCUGCGUAUUAAGUUGUUAGAAAAUUGAUGUUUAGGACAAAAACAUUGUGCGGGAGAUCGCGACGAACCUCAGGGUAACAAUUACAAAACCUUUAACAUGGAAAACAACGAUAUUUUGUCAUUUCUCUCUACAAGACUGCUUCAUUAUUUGAAUCUAACAAAAAAAAACAAAAGAAGAAAAAAAAUACCAAGGUGAGAUGAAGAAGAAGAUGAUGCCACUCACUGUUUACGUAAAUUGCCGUGGGAAUAACGAUGAGCGUGAUGACGACAACCGCCCCGACCAGCGCCACGCACACCUUAUUACAGCCCUACAGAUCCUGCCUCCGCCACCAGCGUGUAACUACUGUCCUCUGCUCUUCCUCGACCACGGGCCUGCAGAGAGGGAAAAACAGCACUUCAUUCAUGUUGAUCAUAACAGAUACAGAUAAGCAGAACAAUGCAGAAGCUGAAGAAGCAUUAAUGGAAGCAAGUGUCGUUGUUACCUGGAGAAUGUGUUCCUCCGCUCUCUGCUGGCUCAUCGCUCCUCCCACACCAGGUGAGGCCGUCAGACCCAGAAUCUGAGGGAGCGGAACUGGACUUUUCUCCUGCUUUUUCAUACACUAAUUGCUGGGACUGCAACAAACAACGGGGACCAUUGACUCCUGAAUGAUUUGCAGAUGCAUGGAAGUCAAGUGACUGUACCUGAUGGAUCAUCAUCCUCUGCGAGAUCUUCCUCCUCACCUUUGUACAUUUCGAUCUCUCAGAUGCACCCAGACCGCUGCUGUCCACACUGCUGUCCAGAUCCUCUGACAGAAGCGAGCUGUUCGCUGAGAGAACGGGAGGGAGAGACGGCAUAGAGCCGUCCAUGUUAGUCUCUGUUGCAGCAGCCGAGCACGACUGUUCACCCUCCUCAACAGUCUCGACUGACAUGGCCUCUGAAACACACACAGUAGGUGUGGAAGAGCUGUGGGACAUCCUGGUCAGUGCAGUCCUGGAUCAGACGGCAGUCUGUGGAGCUCCAGAGCAGCUGUGGUGUCUGGAAGCAGGGAUCUGGACUGCUGGCGUGUCAGAGGAAGAGUCUGGCUGUUUGUGAAGCGGCAUGUGUCAGGAUGCAGUGUGGCACCUGUGCUGUGCAGUGCUGUGGGUUGGUGGGAACAGAAGCGACGGGCUGCACUCUGAUGGCGGGUCUCUUGUACUCAGGACCGGCUGUGAGGCUGCUGUAGGCCGGAGGUCCUAAACACGUCUGUCUCUGCAGCAGCUGCAGGAUACUCUGAAUGUCUGUCGUCAUCUGACACUCUAACCUGGUGAUCCUAAGAACACACCUGUGGCCCAUAAGAAAAGCAGAAUGAUGCUGUACAGGAAGAAACGGAGAAAGAGUUUGCGUCUCAGCAGGAGGACUGCAGCCCGGUGUGGAGGUGUAGCUCUGUACUGAUGGAUACUCUAUUAUGCCUGCUCCCAGAAGCCUUUGCUGUUCCUCUCUGGAGGUGUGACGGUCCUCUGAACUUCUCUUAGAGCUGAGACGAGACUCUCGCCGCUCCUUCCUGCCCUCGCUGUCUGUUUCCUUCAGGCUUCCUCCUACGGGACGAUUGGUCAAAGGUUAAAGGUCAGCUCCAGAUUGGUGAGGAAGUAGUCAGCGAACUCUGGAUACAUGUCCAAAACCUCCAGGAGCUCCUCUCUCUGGAUGGUGUGCAGGUCACAGUAGCUGAGCGCUCGCACGUCUGCGUUUGA